GCAGGCGGCCACAAAGAUGGUGACGAAUCCGAACUGCAGCACUGCGGGACCGGAGUAGCCGCGGGCUAGAGCUGGAAAACCUCUCAGACCACCCCAGGCGGGAAUGGGGUACUCGUGGAACAGCCCCUCACAAGGCAGCAGCUGGUAGUCAGCCUCCCAAGGUGCUGGGUGGGUCCCCGUGCCAGCCUUCCUUUUCCUGGAGUACCACUUCUGCCAGCAGCCCCUCAGCUUUCUGCAGAUUGUAAGUAUUGGCUUCCUCACACGACCUGCACCUGCCAGACACGGAGCAUGACCCUGGACUUCCUCCUCCCACUGAAUACCGGAGAAUCUCCUAGCACCCGAGAAACUGCAGGACAAGGUGAAGGUGACUUACGGGACAAGGACCUCCUGCACAUUGUUGAUGACCUGCUUGCCCACCAUGAUGACCAGGAGCUCCUGUGCCAACUCAAUGAGGCACCCUCCAGCAGCACACUGCAACAGCACAACCUCAGGUGAGCUGGGGACAGGACCAGGCUCACACACUCAACCAGCUUCCUUUUUGCCUCAAAGGUGGCUUCUGUACCCCCACCUCCCAUAGAACAUGCCUGGAGCGCCUUGAGAACUGCAGAGAUCAGCCCUUCCCACCCCACUUCAGUUAUGGAUGGGAGCAACCGCUGGGCAGCUGUAGUUAGUGCCCCAUAGCUCCUCAGCCAACUGCAGCCACAGCUCCAGGGAAGACCCAAGAUGUGGUCAGUAAACAAUCAGACCCCAGGAGCUUCUAGGAAUGCAUGCCAUGCCCGGGAGCCUCAGUCACACUGGGGUGUCAUCCUCUCCAGGUGGGAAAUCCUGAAGAACCCAGUCAGUGCUGGGGGCAGCACCUGGGUCCAGCCAUUCUUGAGCCGCAGAGUCUUGAAUAAUUUCAAUGCAAGACCAUGUGGUAGCCCUUUCCCCGCCGACGCCAGUCUGAAUUAGGCAUCUCGCCAAGAGUUGGGAGGUACCUCACACUGCACAGCAGCCACAGUCAUGCUCCCGAAGUAGGGGCCUGGUUGCUCUGCCUCUCCCCACACAAUUCCCUACCCUUAAUGCAAAGGUGGACAGCACCCCUCAAGGAGGUGAGCCGCCUUGAAGUAAGAGGAGAUAAUGGCCCAGGCCCUGGGAAGAUUUCUGUUCUCCCUCCUCUAAAAAGAGAAGGGUCUUUCAGAUCCGGUGCUCAGUAAGGGCGGCGGAACCCCAUGCCCCCAUCUCCAGUUCCAUAGUCACCAGUGGGCAGCUCCAGACGUACCCACCACCCUGCCGGUACCUCUGGUUAAUCCUGCUCUGCCCUCAGCUAACAAGGCCGGAAGUGUACAGACAAUUUUUUGGGGAGUCUGGGCAACAUAGGGUUCAUUUCUUACUCCUUCUUGGUAUUUAUGCUUUGGUGUCUUGUGGCUCUGUCACCUCCAGAGGAACCCACCUGCGAUCCUCUGCAGAGGCCACCACACAUCUGAGAAGCCGGGCUCUCCUGAUUCCCAGAGUUCCCAGGUCCCAAAGACAAGCAGAGCAUACCAGGGCUAGUGGAGGAAGGCAGCCCUGGGAGAACCCCAGCUAGUGAGGCUGUGGGGUACUGGCCUCAGCAGUGCUAUGACUCAUGGGGGGCUUGGAUGCCUCUAGGGUGUGUGUUAGGUUGAAGCA